rnacentral:misc_RNA from 1 species
AUUCUAAAAUAGACAUCAAGCUAUUGCUCUUUCGCUCCAAAAGAAAGUUGUUUUCAUGAUCCUUUUCAAUCAACAAUUCAAGCUAUAUUUGACCAUUAGUCAGUCGGUUAAAAAGGUUAUAGACUCAUAUUCUCUCUGCUCAAGCUUCAAAUAGGCUUGGCUACCUAGCUUAACUAAUUUUUGUCAUAUGUUUCAAAUCUUUGGAAUCCUACUAUUCUAGUGAUACCAAAGGAGCUGCCUUUUAAGACUUAGUGGGUUCUCUGGUUUAGUUUUGGUCAAGCUUGAAGCAGAAUUUCCUUUCUACAGCUCAUACCUACUUUAGCUUUGGUCCUUGUCUCACCUCCAAGGCAUUUCCUCUAAUGACAAAAGUUAGUUUCCCUAACAGACACCAAAAUGGCCGCAACCAAAACCUUAUAGCUAUAUAUAAUCGGGAAGGAGAGGGGUGUUGGUAGAAUGCCAUGCAAAAUAAACGAACUAAAAACAGCUGUUAAAGAGCUAAAUAAUAUGAGUAAGUAAAGAAGUCAUGUUCAACAAAAUUCUCUAGCCUACAGAACCCAGUACAACUAUUAAACUGUACCAACACACAAAGCCGCACAUAGCAUUAUUGCCUGUUACCUUCCUUCCAAUUAUCUCAGCAACCAAUUAAAAUCCAAAAAGCUCCCAAAAACAAGGAGGGGAAGGGUAAAAAAUAAAAAUAACAAUAACUGAUAUAACUUCACCCAAAAUACUGGCUGAAACUGAUUUUCCCACUUAUAAUAAUAAUAAAACAAUAAAAAUCGAAACUUUUCUUUUCCUCAGUCGUUUGACUAUUAGGGAAAAAAAAUACCCGGGACAGGGCAACGGCGGCGCAAGCCAAAUUGAGUUUACAUUUCAAGAACAUCUGGUACUCCUCGGAAUCCACCGGAAUAUUCGGAGGAGCACCAGGAGCA